CAGAGAUCGACACAGGACAGAGCAUCUGUUCCAAGAUGAUAUGUCCAUUGAUUUCACUGAAGAGUAGAUGCAUCUCUUCAACACGACGGCGCUGUGAGCUGGGCUUGCAUUUCUUCUCCGGGAGGGAACGUCUGGCUUCUGGUCGACGGAACCGGUGGUCUUUACUCACGGAUAUGCUCCAGAUUUGCAUCCCGUCGGCAUAACCAAUCAUGAGGCAGAGAGGAGGGUCACUGCUGCCACUGUGCAUCUCCAGGAACUCAGGGGAGCGGGACGUAUCUGAUGGACACACAGCAAAA